CCCUUAGAUGUCCUGGGCCGCACGCGCGCUACACUGAUGCAUGCAACGAGUUUAUAACCUUGGCCUGAAAGGUCUGGGUAAUCUUUUGAACGUGCAUCGGGAUAGGGAUAGAUUAUUGCAAUUGUUAAUCUUGAACGAGGAAUUCCUAGUAAACGCGAGUCAUCAGCUCGCAUUGAUUACGUCCCUGCCCUUUGUACACACCGCCCGUCGCACCUACCGAUUGAAUGGUUCGGUGAAGAUCUCGGACUUCGAUAUUUAUUCUUUAUUGAGUUUAUAUUGUGGGAAGUUAUCUAAACCUCAUCAUUUAGAGGAAGGUGAAGUCGUAACA
rnacentral:rRNA from 1 species